ensembl:snRNA U6 U6 spliceosomal RNA
UUGCUUUCUUAGCACAUAUAUAAAAUUGGAAGGCUGCAGAGAAGAUUACCAUGGCCUCUGUGCAGGGAUGACACACAAAUUUGGGAAGCACUCCAUAUUUUU